rnacentral:lncRNA from 1 species
UUUCUCUUGAUAGAAUAGCCACCUUUCUUCCAUUUUAGAUUAAAUUGCUGAUUUAGCACCAAUUAUAUCUUGAAUACACAUCAAUGGGUAUUAAUUCCAUCAGUAGUUUCUGUGUUUAUAAAUAGAAGUGAAGACAACAACAAUUUCUAUUGGUGUGCUUUGAAAGCUACAUAUAUUAAACCAAUUUCUGAGAGGUUGGGAGGGAAUGUAGGAUUUCAUUGAUGAUUUCACAACUGCGGAGCUUACAGGACCCUUCUUUUUAUCUGCAUACCUCCUCACUAGGGUGGAGAACCCAAUGGAGGUGGAUGGGAGUGGAGUAACAAUGACAUAAUGAAUUAUGUCAACUGGGAGAGGAACCCAUCUACUGCCUUAGACCGCGGAUUCUGUGGCAGCUUGUCAAGAUCUUCUGGAUUUCUAAGAUGGAGAGAUACCACAUGUGAAGUGAAGUUGCCCUACGUCUGCAAAUUUACAGGUUAAAAUUACCAGACAGCAAACAGCUUUAGUUUGUCCUGAAGCACAUCCUGUCAAGGGGCAAAAUAUGAAGACUUGCGUAGAAAAAGUGUAUUCUAUCUACAGUCCACAUUGGAGCUCUAAUCAUUCUUUAGCCAAUUUUGUAUAAGUUGUGUCCUCAUGUCUUGGAAAGCAGUAAUAAACCUCAGUCUCUCUUCG